rnacentral:rRNA from 1 species
AACGUAGGAGACAAACGUUAUCCGGAGUUACUGGGCGUAAAGGGCGUGUAGGCGGUUCGUUAAGUCUGGCGUGAAAGCUCUCGGCUAAACCGGGAGAGGUCGUUGGAUACUGGCGGACUAGAGGACGGUAGAGGCGUGUGGAAUUCCGGGUGUAGUGGUGAAAUGCGUAGAGAUCCGGAGGAACACCAGUGGCGAAGGCGACACGCUGGGCCGUACCUGACGCUAAAGCGCGACAGCGUGGGGAGCAAACGGG